GACGGCCUCUCCGACGACUCCGACGACGGUUCGAACUGAGGCGAAGUACGUGGUUCGCGGUCGGAGCCAAUGAUCCGGUUGAUUUGGAACAGGGCAGGGGAGGGAGUUGAGAUCAGUCGCCGGAUUUGUUUCUAAACGAUUCUUUCUUUCUCUUCACAGUUUAAAUUUCGAUGCUUGUAUGUUCUUAGUGCGUAACGAUUGCAUCGUUUGGUUAUCAAUGACUCAUCAAGAAUGAAUCAUAUGCCAUUCUACUGUUCGAUCAUUUCUGUGCUUCUGAGCAACUGAUACGGCGUGCAAUUCGUGUACUCUGCAACAUUUGAUUCAGAAAUUGUUUCGACAUUGUUUUCGCCAACUUUGCAAUCAUGAGAUAGCGAGGACUUCAGGGAGAUCAGAGGACUGUUUCCUUGAGCUAUCAUUCACAAAAGCAAGAAUUUCAAUGAGGGAGAUAACUGAAAAAUGCAGCGUUGAACAAUGAUGCCACUCUAGGACCUAGAUCCGCUCUCUAUUUUCCUAAUGGCACGUGCAAUGUUAUAUAAGUAAAACAAAAGGAAACAUGCAAGGAUGAGCGUGGCACUCUCAAGGGUAACCUUAAGCUUGAGGGUGGACAUGAAACCAAGGCCGUAGGCGAUACAGGGAAUAAAUACUGAGAUAGUGAUGUGCGCUUCGCCGCUUCCUACACUAUUCCCCCGCCUUACCAUGAAUGGACUUCUAUUUGCGCUUCCUACAUUCGGCAACAUCAUUAUUUCUAGAUCACCAAAAGUUUUUUAGAAAAUGGAGAACAUGCAGAUGGAAGAAAAUUGUUCUGAAACAUAUACAUUUGAUACUAGACAUGGUUCUUCACAAACCGAGGCAAUAAUAGUCCACAAAUAGUGAUACAUCGAUCUAGGCUUCCAAGUUCCAACUCACUUAUGAAAUAUAAAUACAAUAUAAUCGGGUUUCGUAGGAGCUAAAAUGGAAUCCCGAAAGAGAUGAAAAGUUUUUAUCCUUUCAAAAUUUUAUUCCGAUAUCCAUUGAACCAAAUGCAAAAUGACAACUACUCAAAAUCCAUUACAUCCAGCGCGUUCCUCUGAAUAAAACUGUAUGUUUACCUCACAAACAACAGAAGAGAUGCUUUUUAGUGACAACUUUCAUUAAUUUUACUAUCUGAUGAAAUGAAGAAUUUCACAUGAACGCAGUGUAUACAUUCCCACGGGGAUUCAGGGGGAAACCGAGAAUAAUACUCAACAGUUCAGCAUCUCAUUUGCCACUCCAAAGCUCAAUAUAGACCACAGAGCGCAUGUAAUGCUUAAUCCUUCAGCCAGCGAGAAAUACGGCCAAGCGAUUUGCCAAUUUAGCAGCGCCUCGCCCAUGCCCAACUAGCACCCGGCACAUGUCCACUCGGGCACUCACCCAUCGGAUCGCCAAACAAAUCGCCUCGCGCGCGACCACCAACCGCGGCGUGCGCGCGCCUCCGCUUCUCUUGCUCCCGCGCGUACGUAUAGCCCUCUGCUUCCUCCCGUGCCUCCUCUGCCACAGCCCAUCAUUCAAGCUACCCAAGCCCACGUCCACCAUGUCUCGCGCGCUCGCCCUUGCGGUCCUCCUGCUGGCCGCCGCCGCGGUGGCGCCGCUGGCCUCGGCGCACGGGGUCGGGGCGGAGUCCGUCACGGGCGCCAAGGAGUUCGCCGGCGCCGGGUCCAAGGGCGCCAGCGCCAAGGAGUUCGCCAGGGCGGUCGGGGCCGACCCCGACCCCUCCCCGGCCAGCGGCCUGCCGGCCGACCCGGCGCCCGACGCGCGCCCCUAGGACAGAAGCAGUGGAGCACGCACCGUCCCCGACUCCUCCCCGUCCCGUGUUCCGUACGUUGACGCGUUGGCCUGAUGGUUAAGAUGUACACGAACGCGAUGCCUUUUCAUUUCAUCCUGCAUGUGUGUUCUCUUGCGUUUUUCUUUGGUUGUCGUGACGCAGACGUGAGAAGUUCUGUCACUCUGUCUGUGGAAAAAUGUCACUCUGACGCUUGGGUCGUAAGUGGAAUUGUACAUCCAGCCUCCGGUUCACUGCUGGCUGAUUUCUCAUGUGAAAGAAAUUGGACAUUUGAUUGUUGAAAACAUGCAUACGUUUUGAGAUCGAAGCUGCUAUGUUUUCAUGCUCAUGCUGUGAGUACCGUAUGGCGAUCUACGGCAUGCUUCCCAGUGGACAACGUCCCCUUCCUCUCAGAAUAACAGCUGAUUAUGUUCGUGCAAAACAGUUCAUAUUUCAAGGAAGAUUAAAGCAGUACCUAUAAGACUAUAACUAUCUAUUGACGCUGGUAUGAUGUAUACGAACUCGAGUCGUAUGGACUAUACAUUCAUCUGGUCCAAGAGAUGACCAACAGAACUCAAUGCACUCAAAACUUUUCGCAGAGAGUGCAUGCCAUGUGAGAGCUUGAUCCAUGCCAGCUUUCUCCAUCACUACAUGCAUGCGUACAGAAACGAGGGAGAUUUUAUACAGCGCCAUUGUCCAUGAGUCGAGUAUUUAAGUAGCCACCCCUGUUGUACCAUUUUGGCGUUUCUCCUUUCAACAUGCAAUGAAGGAUCUUGCGGAAUAUCAUCUCCCGUAAUCGUUGAUCCCACGCGCCAGAUGCUUUGUGGCAUGCCCUGAACAUACUUUAUUAGUUUCCAUCAACGAGACGCUUAUCUGUAAAGUGACCACACACAUUAAUAUAUGAUAUAGUACCACGGUAAGCAUGGUGCGCAUAAUAUAUCACUACAUUUGUUAUAAACUCAGCUUGACAGAAUAGUUUUAAUCCCAAACUAUCAGAAUAAGGGGUGUCGAUCACUUUGGUUGGGGUGCUGGCUUAAAUGUGAUCCAAUUGAUUAUGUGUCUACUCUGACUGCUUGAGUAUCGGUUGCAGCAUUAAGAAAAAGUCAUGGUAUUAGUUGUUGUAGAUUAGGACUGGCGUCAGAUUAUCGUUCUCAAUCAGUGCAUUCUGCAAUCUGCAUCCUGAGCCUGUGUGUUUUUCGAUCCAAUGGUUCAAAGGCUACCCAAAAUUAUUGUACCAUGGUGCCUUUUGUACACUAAUACAGCUGAUUCCUGACAAAUGGAGUUCUAGUAUGGUGACUUCUGCACGCAGCAUUAAUAUCAAAUGGGAGUUCUGUGGGACUUUCAGAGAAGCUUUAGUUCUUUGACACUGACCUUCUGAAUCUGUAGUCUCCUAAAGCCUAGCCCUUGCUGCUUCCCUGGAUUCAUAUCCCAUGACACCGGGGAUGUGAGUUUCAAGGUAUUUCUCCCAAUUGAUGAACUUGGUAUCACAGGGGAUCAGUUCUCUGUCUCUUUUGUUCAUCAUCGCGAUAAGCCUCUGCAUGUUGGAAUCAUCAAACCUGCAAGCAAAGGUGCAAAAUGGGAACAACUCUUGAUAAGAAAUGGUUCAUAGUAUCCUUCCUGGAGCUACCUCUACCUUACCUCCUCUUGAAGAAUGUGCCUGGCCGGAACACUUCUGCAAGGGCCACUGUGAAAUUGUACUCUCUCUUGAGAUGGUUGUAUCUGUCAAGCUCGUCAGUGGUAGACAACCCACGGCCUGCCGUAUCCUGCAACCGAAAAUAUUGACACGCUUUGUAAGAAAAUAGACACAAAAUUCAAUGCAGUUAUAUUUAUUAGGGGAUGGCAUGUGGGUUGUGAUGGAUCUUUUAUUUUUUCAUCGGUUGUCGUGUGGGGCCCAACAAAAAUAUGACGAAUGAUGGUUGAAAACCUAGGUGACAUGGAUGCCAUCUAGGCGGAUCAACAAUGAUGAUUUUUGACUUUGAGUGAACCAUUCAGUAAGUUUAGGACCUAGAUAUGUAAAUUAACAGUUCAGGGAAAUAGGUAACACCCUGGAACAAGUUUAGGGAAAUAUGUAGAUUAACCAUUCAGUAAGUUUAGGACCGCUGGUGCCUUUAGUCCAUAUUUAAUUAUAAACCAACCUGCAUUGGCACCUUGUAGUGUAUGUCCAUGUGCUUAUAGAAGCUGGCCAUUGUUGCUGGCACAAUCAGCUGCUUCACCUUGAUUCCCUCUCCCCCUGCACCGACAAAUGGUUUCUCUGAGAAGUAUCUGAACAUUAUAUGUAUCAGCUCGCCUAUCUUGAGUGGGUUGCGCAUUGAAGAACCAAUGUGAUAGAUCAAGCCCGAUUGACCUCGAGGGUGGUAACUGAUAACGCAAAGCAUUCCAUUGACCACAGUGUCCGCAGGCACCUGCAAGCCAUCCACAAAAAUGAUACUUAUCUGUAGUGACUUGCACUUAUUAGAACAAAUCAUCUGUAGUUUCCACUACAAAUCAAUUCUUUAUGCUAAACACAAGAAGAAUGUAUCGUACAAUGUCUAUGACAGUAGUGACAUCUGCAGGAAGAACCUUCAGAAUCCCCUUACCAUAAUUGGUAAUCCACGUGUCAAUUGUUCUGCACCAAUUUCACACCAUAUUUCAAAGUGAGUUGCUGAUGAUAAUUGAAUGUAAGUUAUUGAAGCAAUCAAGUGAGGAUGAAUGGUUCAGUAUACUGCUGAAACUGACUUGAUUCCUUCUAUCCAUCCAGGAAAAGGCUCUUUCCAUGUGCUCGUCGUGGAUGUUGGACGGAUUAUGGCAAUUGGUAGCCGCAAUCUCUGUUCAUAUGCUAGCAUCUCACCCAUUGCCUUUGUGAAAACAUAGGUACUCAUCCAUCCAAACUUCUGAGCCCUGUUUAGCCAUCAUGUAGAAAUUUCAGAACAUCAUUCCUGAUGAUGUAUCAUGUAUUAAAGUGAAACUAUCAAGACUAAAUUGUGCAGGUAAUGAAUCAAGUUCAGAUGCAAAACCUUUGUGUGCCAAUCUUCUUCAUGGUGCGUCUUAUAGUAUCUUCUGAAGCAUUCCUGCAAACUAGUUCUUUCAGCUUCGCCUCUGUCAAUGCCAUUUCUUCUGAAAUAUCUAAAUCUGAUUGGCCAUCAUAGCUCCUGUACUGGUGAAAUGGCUUCUCCAGCAUGAUCCCUGAUUCCUUUCCAUUGACAUAAGCUGGAAUUGGGAAACGGUUCUCUCAUUCAAGAAGAAAUUCCUUUUUGUUGGAUAGAAGUGAGCUGAUGCCAAUUUCAGGUCUCACCAGUUGACACGAGGAGUAGUAGUUCUAGCUUUGCACAUUGUGAUGCGAUUUCGAUAAUAUGCUUUACACCCAUAGUGUUUAUUGCCAAAGCAGUUCGUAUCUGCACUUAUGAUCAGGGGUAACAACGUGAGCAUCAUAGACUAACCCCUUUUUUAUCUGAUUAAAAAAAGAACAAUUACAGCACAACUUUCUCACCUUUCUCUGAAGUUAACUGUCGCGGCCAUAUGAACGAUGAUGUCUGUUUGUUUCAAUAUAUCUUCAGCAAGCGCGACAUCUCCUAUACCCAAAUUCUUCAACGAGACAUCUCCCGCCACAGGGUAAACCUUGUCCCAGAACCAUGAACUGAAAUGCUUUUGGUACUUCUCUCGCAAAGGUCGAAAUAUCUGAAGUUGCAUAAUCUGAUAUUGCAGGCAACAAGACCAAGGAAACAAAGAUGAACUGGAUCAAAAUCAAAUCAAUCACUCAAAUACCUCAAAAACGACCGUAUGAGAUAUUCGCAAAAAGCAGGGCGGAGAAGAAGGCGACCUCGGAGCGGACCCGCUCCGUUGCAGAAGCCUGGUCGCCGGCGCGCACCAGGAGGUACAGCCUCUUCACCGGGGGCUGCAGCCGCAGGACCUUCUCCACAAGGACUGCAUCUCAUAACCCAACAAAGCAUCAAGAUCCAUUCACUGGACUCCCCAAACGCACUAAAAAGCAUAAGGAUUUCGCCGCUACGUUUUGCUAUGAAUCCGGUGGCGCCCGUGAUGAGGACCGUCUUGUUGUGGAGGCGCUCCGCGACCCCGGCGGGCUCCAUGGCUAGACCCAGAUUCGAGCGACCAAGUGAGAGAGCAGGUUGAGGACGGCGGGCUCCGUGGGCAGCAACCAGCAAUGGUGGAUUGGUGGGGAGGGCGGCGGUGGCGGGGGCCGCGGGCCGCGGGGGAGGGCGCGGAAAGACGAAAAGUUUCCCUAUCGUGGGGUCUCGCCACUGGCAGGCGGGUCCCAUUCUGUGGGCAGGUGGGGGGGACCACCAGUCAUUCCCACGCGCGGGGCGCGGCACUGACACGGGCACACGGCCGAGCAUAUAGUAGCUUCAAUUGCUUCAAGAUUCAUGUGCGAUCUACGUGCCAUCCGAUCACCCUCAUCUUCCUCUCCUCCUCUCUUCUCGUGCUGCCGCUCAAUCUCCCCAUGCCGUCGAGGAAUGCAAAUCCAGUGGAGCAGGCGGGAGGUAGUGGGAGCAGGUGGCGGGAGGUCGCCACCGGCCGGGGUGGUUGUUGAGGUCGGCGGGGGUAGGCUUUCGAGGUUACAGAGAGCUCCAAUGGCCACAAAGAGAGUCGGGGCAGCGGAAGGUCCGACGGCGAUGGAGGUGAAUGUCGUGGGAGUGUCGCUGGGCGGGCGUGGGAUUAGGAAGGACGGGGUCGAGGGGUCGACGGUGAACGGUGGGCGGGCGACGUGCUCGCCGCCGGCCGGGGUGGUGGAGGAGGGAGGCGGAGGUGGUGGUUGGCUGGAGGAAGAGGAGGAGGAAUGAGAUGGUCUGUCGGAUGAGCCAGAAGCUAUAUCUUCUAUAUAGCUUACGAAAACUAGAUAAGUCAAUUUCCUCAUUGUCACAAAAAUUUGUUGAGUUCUUUAUAUGCUAUAGAAUUUUUCAAAAUUCUCUCAGUGCUGUUGAAUCUAUGAUUUAUCCUCCACCAACCUUUGAAAGUGCUCUUACGAGUGGUUGGAAAAUAUAAUUGUACCCUAAUAAGUUAGCCCCCACCUGAUCCUUGCGUCGUUUUGUUCUACGCAUCACAAAUUCGCCUCCAUAAAGACAUCGACUUUCAACCUCACAAUCAAAGUACUUGACAAAAAGAUCGUAGACUUCUGAGGCCCUGUUUGUUUCCACCCUCCUAAAAUUUUAACUCCUAAAAGUGACUAAAAAGUUUUAGGAGGCUCAAAACCCCUAAAACCUCCUAAAACCAGUGCUGGACUCCCACUACCCCUCCUUUAUUGCCUCUGCCCCGCACCCUCCUCCCGACCGCACCCUCCCCGACCCUGCCGUCGCUCCCUCCCUCCUCCACACCGCCGCCCGCGGCCUCUCACCGGCGGCCGUGCCAUCCCCCGCCGGAUCCGCCGCCCCCGCUCCCUUGCACCGCCGCACGGGUCGGCCGUGGCGCUCCCAUCCUCCUCGGCGCUGGCUGCUCCUCUAAUCCGGCCGCCGCUCGAUCCGCCAUCGACGCCGGCUUCCGCGACCGAGAAUCGUCGGCUGGGCGCUCCCCAGCCGGAUCCCCGCCGCCGCCGGAUCCGGGAGAGGGAGGAUCGGGAGGGGGGCGGCCGUGCCGGGGAAGAAGAGGAGGGGAGGGGCGCGGCGACCGGGAUUGGAGGGGAGGGGGUGGCGGUCGAGGGAAGGAGAGAGGGGAGGGGCGUCGACGAAAGGAGGGGAGGGGGCGGCGCAGGCGGAAGGAGGGUGCCGGCCGCCGCCGCCGGGGUCAGCGAGAGGGCUCAGGGCCGGGAGGGGAGGGGUGGGUGCGUGUGUGUAGGGAAGAAGAGGAGGGAAGGGGUGGGCAGAGAAGGAGCAGGGGCAUUGGGGGAGGGUACUAUAGUCAUUUUACUACAAUAUUUAUUGCUUUUAGUCAGUUUUAGAGGUGAAACCAAACAUACUUUAGACCAUGGACUAAAAAUUGACUAAAAUUUUUUAGGAGCUAAAAUUUUAGGAGGUGGGAAACAAACAGGACCUGAGUCCUAAUUUCCCCCUACUUUAUUCAAAGUCCGUCAGUACAUACAAAUCAUCAAGUCGAAUACCAAGUACAUGUGCGCUGGUCAUGUACUUUAUUGGACACAUCUGCCGAAAUCUAACCAAAGUCAAGAAAAGCAGCUAUCCAAGACAAGAUUUUGAGGUGUUUGGAUCUUUAGUUCGAAUUAAAAUUUAUAUCACAUCCAAUAUUCGGAUGCUAAUUAAGAGGACUGAACAUGAGAUAAUUAUAAAACUAAUUACACGGAUGGAGAGGACUGAAUAUGAGAUAAUUAUAAAACUAAUUACACGGAUGGAGGCUAAUUCGCGAGACGAAUCUAUUAAACUUAAUUAAUCCAUCAUUAGCACAUGUUUACUGUAACAUCACAUUAUCAAAUCAUGGACUAAUUAGGUUUAAUAGAUUCGUCUCGCAAAUUAGCCUCCAUCUGUGCCAUUGAUUUUGUAAUUAAUCUAUAUUUAAUACUCCUAAUUAAUAUCUAAACAUUUGAUGUGACAGGAAUUUUAGGAGCUCCUAAAGAAACAAACGCCCCCACCAAGCAAUGAUUUUUUUUUCAGUUUCUUGGGAGUUGGGAAGUUCUUAGUGCAGACUGCAGACCUUAUGCACCUGUUAUUUUGUGACACAAUCGAGCUUACCUCAAACAAGGACAGGCUCGCUUCAAACGACGAGGAUCAAAGCAAAGAUGUCCAUGAAAGAUCGAGGAUGCCUUGAUAUUAUUCUGUUCUUAAUUCGUCCAGUAAUCACCAUUUCGAUCAGAAGAACGAUGCUGAUGGUUCUUGUUCCACCAUGUUCCAAAUCUCUACAUGUUCCAAAUCUCUACCUGCCCCUGUGUGACUUCGGGCCUGAUUGGUUGGCACCGAGGUAUGCCAAACUAAAAUCAGGGCAUUUGGCAGUUGUGAUUUGCAAAUGCCCUGAUUUGCCAUCAAACCAAUCGGGGGUAAAAUUUUGGAUGCCACGAUUUGACACCCAACCAAGCGUCAUCUCGGUCUGUUCGCUUCAAUUAAAUUUAGAUGAUUUAUCAGCCACCAAACAGUAUUUUUCUCUCACAAUAAAUCAGUCCUUUCAACUUUUCAGCCGCCUUACCCGCGGACUGCCGGAGUCGCCGCUCGCUCCGCAUGGCACCUGCGUGUGCGUCAGGCAGCAGGCUGGUGGGCUUGUGGCUCUCAAGCUCUGGAUGAGCAGAUGGACAGGAGUGCCGAGAAGAUAAGCUUCAGUAUUUUUUCUAUUCCCAUGUGGGUCCCACAAAUAAACCCAACCAAAAAAACAAACUAGGAUAAGGAGAUAUAUCUCAUAACCCUAUCCCUUUCCCACUGCAACCCAAGCCAUUUCCGUUUCCCAAUCCAAGAUACUGUCCAAACGCCAUAUAAGGGAAUAAUCGCCUCAAAAUUUUAUGAUAUACAAAGAACUCAUCAAAAAUUCUAUAAGGGUCUGUUUGGAUACAGGCUCAUAAAGUUUAGUACCUGUCAUAUCGGAUGUUUGGAUACUAAUUAGGAGUAUUAAAUAUAGUCUAAUUACAAAACUAAUUACACAGAUGGAGUCUAAUUCGCGAGACGAAUCUAUUAAGCCUAAUUAGUCCAUGAUUUGACAAUGUGGUGCUACAGUAACCAUUUGCUAAUGAUGAAUUAAUUAGGCUUAAUAGAUUUAUCUCGCGAAUUAGUAUAGGGGUUCUGCAAUUAGUUUUAUAAUUAGCACAUGUUUAGUCCUUCCAAUUAACAUUUCAACAUCCGAUGUGACCCCUCCUAAAGUUUAGUACCUCGUUGACUCAAGCUAUUUAGGAGCCCCCAAGGCCGUCGGAUCACUGACCCCGCCCAGAAGCGGUAAUCGCCUCUCCUCCGCUGGGCGGUGAUCUCACCGCCCCCCCAGAUCUCGUCUUCCCGUUCCCCCCCUCCUGCCCGAUUCAAAAUUUUCGAGACCUCCGCCACCGUCUCCACGCCACGGCAACUAGCCGUUCCUCUCCACCUCCAUGCCCAAACCCUAGGCGGCCACGCAGCGACCUCCGCGAGAGCCGGGCCGGCCAGCCAUGGAGCACCUGUUCAUGCAGGCCUUCGAGCGCGGGGAAUGGCUGGCCGCUCAGUUGCAGCAGCAGGUCGACUCCUACUCCCAGACCCUCGCCUGCAGCCUCCUCGCCGCCGGCCACAGGCCCCCGGAAUGGCUCCUCCCCUCCGCCACCCUGCCCCAAGGUGCGCCCCUCCUCCUUCUCCCUUUGUCUCCCCGCGUCGGCGUUAGAUUCAGGUCGUUCGUGAGCGGAGCGGGGUGGAUUGGGUUGGCCGAUUGGGGCUGAUUUCGAUUCGGACAGGGAUUGCGUAUUUGGAUUGGCAGGGCUGAUGGUUAGUGGUGAUUUGAGCUUAGAUUGCCCUACAGCAGGUUGUAGCUAACUAGAAUUUGUUUCUAACGCUAACAUUUUGUGGAGGAUUGAUUUGGCUAACUCCUUAUUUGUUAAAUCGGAGAAAUUGCCUAAGAGAAGCACUGUGGUUGGUGAUUGCUUGGUUUUACAGAAUGUUUCCUGCUGUCAUGACUAUAACAGAACGAUACCAUAGCUUUAUACAUGCCAUAGUUUGUUGUUGCCAGUAUACUGAAAUUUCAAUGGUUAAGCAAUAUAAUUUGCUACUAAAAGAAAUAAAAUACAAUUAUAUUCUACCCAUCCUUUUUGAAAUGUUGGACUACCUAAAGGUUGCACAAGUACAUAUAUAGUAGUUGGAUGUUCAUAUGUCAUAUCUAACCAUUUUGCUGUGAAUAUUGUUUCAUGAUAUCCUUCUGUGCGCUGUCAUUAUCUUUCUUUUUUAUUCAUAUACUGAAGUACUCCAUUAAUGUGUAGAGCUGAAUGGCAAACCGAUUUUUCUCACUGGAAGACACAUUACAACACCAGCAGUCAAUAGGAGUGUCUUCCUGCCUCAAGCUGUUCCUAGCACUUUGUCCAGAAAUUCGGAGGUUCCAAAUGGGUGUGCUUACCCAGACACCAAUUGUACUAGCCAACAUGAAGAGGAGCAGCAAGAUCAGACUUCACUUAACCAGGACAUUUCUGAGACUUGUACUGCUGCCAAAAUGUUUUCAAGGAUUCAGCGUUCCAGGUCAAGGCAAAGGCAUAUUAAAGAUCGCCUACAUGGAAAGGAUCAGGCUGCAAAGAUUGGAAGCCAUGAUGGUAUGCAUAAGUCUAACCUUGGAACUUUGGGGUCAAAUGGAGCUAGUGCAUCAUCAUCAUCAUCCAUACCAUGUGAUGAUGUUGCCGACAAUGCUGAAACAACAUCAUCAGUUCCAGGUCAGGGUAGUGGUUUUUGUGCUAUUCAGGGGAAGCCAAUUGACUUCUUGAAGUGUGUAGACAAUCUUGAAAAUCAAGGAGUUCAAUCAGAUGGUUUCCCGCAACAGAUUGUAGAGAGCAAAGUUGUCUCUUCCGAUAGCGACAUCAGGGUCAGUAACAAAUCUUCUGUUAGAGAUUCAUUGAGUGUGCCACUUCCAGAUCUCUCUAAGCCAAGCGUUGCAGAUAGUGUGUGCGACCGAAUUCCUGAAACUCACAUGUUGGUUGAGCCAAAGAAACUUCAAUUUGAUGGCAUUGAAUCAGUUUGUAUGAAUCCUACCAGUGAACAAAUGGGCCAGCAACAGGAUUCUGAUGCUAAAAGUGAGCAUCUUGAUAUUGCUGGUAGAAUUCCUUCAAGUGAAGAUGCAUCUUCUACCAGUUCUCAGGGACCUCAUUCUAUGGGUAGGUUAUUCCUUGAUCAGGUUAGGCUGGGAGAUUUGAACCCUGACGGUGCACCAGUGGAGCAGCAUCUCAAAUAUGCCUUAGAAUGUGUCCAUCCUGAUCUAACUGGUGUGCAUUCUCCAACCAAGAAACCAUCUCUGACAUGCCCUGCUGAAGGACCGGAUUCUAUUGAUCAACCAUUGCUUCAGGAGGAUACCGAGCAUGUCCCUGAAACCAAUUCUUUGGGAAGAGCAUGUCCCAGGGUCAGCCGACCACUUGAAAUUGAUACAUCAAAUAGUGAUAAAACCAAUUGUUCUCAAAGGCCUUGUUCUGUGGUCAACCCUCUGCUUGAAAAUGAUAUAUUGCAGGUUAUUGAGGAUACUGAAAAACUGCAGAGUUCCAAUUGUCAUGUAUCAUCUCCAUACAGUGGACCUUUGCAGCUACCUACCCAGCUAGCUGACUCAAGGUUUGGGGCUCAAGCAUCAUCAGGAACAUCACCAAGCAGUCUUUUAGGGGAGGAUGGGCAUGAACAUCUUUCAGAUUUGCCAAUAAAUAACAGUGGAUCUUUGCAGCUACCUACCCAGCUAGCUGACUCAAGGUUUGGGGCUCAUGCAUCAUCAGGAACAUCACCAAACAGUCUUUUAGGGGAGGAUGGGCAUGAACAUCUUUCAAAUUUGCCGAUAAAUGACAGAAACAACCGAUGCUCCCAAGGGAGAUCUGCUUUAAGCCUAGAGCUGCUUCCACCUCAAAAUUUUACUUCCAAUGAUGUUUGUCAAUCAAGCCUCUUGCCUUAUAGAACGCAAAGCAAUGACAAACAUUCCAAUGGUUGUACUGCUGUGAGUAACUUUAAGUCUGCAGAUAAUGAGUUAUCUCAGAAACCAUAUUUAUCGGUCAGAUCAUCUUUGGAACUUAAUGGGAGUAUUCCAGAUGCAGAAACUCCAUUAGGCCAUCCUCCUCUGGACAUGGAAAAUGAGAUGCUCAAAGCAAACUCAGUAUCUAACUCGGUCAGCUGUUAUUCAGGAAAGUUGGGUGAUGAUGCUCAUAUCAGCAGAGCGUAUGGUGGUUCUGCUGAUAACGGAAAGCACGAGUCUGUGGUUCUGAAAGUUAUGCCCAGUAAUUCAUCUCAAAGAACCAGAGAGAUGCAUGGAACAGAAAGGAACAGUAUGGUUUUGUUGGAAAAAUGCAAUGAAAGCCUGCAUCAAGGUAUCAUGAUUGCUCCUUGUAGAUCAUUAUCCUCCUGUUUUAUAGCAAAUGACACUGAUAUAUUCUUACAAAACUUGCAAUCUUUCAGGAAAAGAACAAGAGACCCCUCAUGCUGAGGAUGAUUUGCAGAUGAAUGCUAAUUCAUGCACAGCCGAGAAUAUUGAGAAAAGGAAGUCUGCAAGUACUUCAGAAUCACGUGAGAAGAGCAAUAACCACCAGGAGGACACAAGAACUGCUCAGAAGAAGUCAGUUGCAGAUGGUGUUCAGAUAAAUGGGGGUACACCAUCCAAGAGAAAACGAAUAAAACGCCAGGACAUUGCGCUUCCCAGUUCUUAUGACACAAAACCAUCUUCUUCGAACCACCAAGAUGCCAUUGGCACUGAUAUGGUAACUGCAGAAAAUUUCUCGGGGAAAUCACAACCUUCAGGUCGUUACUUCUUAAGGAGUUCAGGAUUCAGUGAGUUCAUGUCUCUCAAGUCUGAGACAAAGAAUGAUAUAAUGAACUGCAAGAUGUCAGUUGCAAGUGAUGUUCAACAAAAUAGGAAUUCUUCUCCCAAAUUAAGAAAUAAGUCCAGCCUAUCCGAGGUUGCCCUCUGUAACUCUUCUAGUGCGAAGGCUUUAUCACCUCAUGUUGGUUGUGGUAUCAGGAGCAAGAUUGCAGUUGAAGAAAUGGACCUCCAAAAUUAUCAAGUACAGUUACAAAAUAUUUUGGAUGUUGCAACUUCUCCUUUGCCUAGCAGCUGUAUUAUGUCGCUUGAUAACACGGAACACUGCAUACGAGAGGUAUGUGUUCAGUUAGUGCUCCAAUUCUUCUAUUCUGAAAUUGUGAAAAUAUCAAUCUAAAAGACUAUACAUCGGAUUUCCAAGUACAAGUUUAGAGAAUUGGAUUAUUAAGUGGAAAUUUGGUUCAUGGCUGAUUCUUUUUGAAAACUGUGUUCAUGGCUGAUUCUUAAAGAUAUUGUUAGACUUGUUGGGUAGCUGAAUUCCAUUUGUUACAUUUUUAGCUGGUAGAGUUUUGCAGUGUUCAGUCUGAAAUCUAGCUUACUGUUUUCUGUGUGUGAGUGAAUUCCAGAGCAUUGACAGCUUUUCUUCUUUGUUGACAGGAAAAUCCUUACUUACAAGGUGAGGGCCUAAGUGUUUCUAAUUCCAGUGUAGAGCAUAAGCAAAUGGCUCUUCGGAUGGAUGAAAUAUUGUCUCAGAGUGUGAUAAUAAAUCCAGAAAAUUAUUCCAGGACUGAUUCAACAAAUAUAUUUCCGGGUUGUGCAUCGGAACAACAUGGUAAACAGGCAUCUGCUCCAAUUGCAUUGUUUCAUGAGAAAUUAAGUUAUGGCUCUGGCAUAGAAGUUGAUAGGAAACUUAGAAGUGAAGACCUAACUGGAUGUUUGCUGUCUGCUUCCACUAUACCAAGACAAAAGGAUAAUGAAGCUUUGGACUGUAAUGAUACAAUGCCACAAUUCGAGUGCUUUGAUUUUUCUGUUCCAGACAGUCCAACUACCAAAGAAAGGCCAUUUGAUUCCCUUUGUGAUACCAGAGAAUUUGCUACUUUUAGUUCUGAUAUCUCCGAGAAGUAUAAGACGAAUACUCUGAGUGGCAUGCGUCAGCUAUUGGCAACUAUGUCAGGGAAAGCUGCAAACUGUUCAUUCGAUGAUGAUGAGAGACAACACAAUGAUAGUGUCGAUGGAAGAAUAACAGACAUAUUUGGCUCAUGUGGAUUGGGACACAAUGGUUCAUUUUUUACUUCUGAUGUUGUAGCCUCAUAUUCUUCAAAUGCUAGAGACAAACAGGAGAGUAGUGAAAAUCCAUUGACCCCUGCAGUUGAAAAGUAUAGUCUGGGGAAACUUUCAGGAACAAGUGGAUCUGUUUCUGAGCAUAUGGGUUCAAUUCCUGAGCUUUCGUGCUUCCGAAUUGAUGAAGACAGUGACAUUGCAGAAGAAAAUGAGUACCAAGACAUAUUACCUGGAUCUGUAGGUACCCAGAGGCAAUCUGGCAGAAAAGUACUUCAGGAUAUCACUAGAUUGUGUCAAAACACUGGGAAUUCUGCUUCUUGUUCCAUAGGUAUCAUGGAUACAAGUGACACAAACUUCACCACAGAAACUUGCGGCAGUGAACUCAAUCAUCAACCAGGUCUCAGGAAUGAUGGUGAUAACAAGAAAGCUAAAGAAAGUUAUGCUUCUUUAGUAAAGAAAGGAGGGAAAAUGUCUCGUUCUUUCCGUGACAGAUUAAGCAAGACAGAAGCAAGGCACAUGAGUGAAGCAAAUACUGGCAAACGCUCUAAGCCUAGCAAUAUUGUUGCUAAUGUGGCAUCUUUUAUACCUCUUGUAAAACAAAAGGUGCAACCUGCAGCAUGUGGUAAGUCUUAUUUGUUUACUUGCACUAUUUAAUAUCUGAUUAGUAUGCUAAAUAUAUUGUGCAACUGAUCCUUUGAGGUACAAGUAUUUGUUUGAGUGGUGCUCACAAAAGGCCUCUACAAAUCGCUCUGUCUUGUAGUGAAAAAAGAUGUUAGGGUGAAGGCACUUGAGGCAGCGGAAGCUGCAAAACGUCUUGAAGAAAAGAAACGAAAUGAGCGUGAAAUGCGCAAAGCAGCCACAAAACUUGAGCGUGAGAAACUGAAGCAAGAGAAAGAAUUAAAGCAAAAACAUGAAGAGGAACAGAAAAAGAAAAGAGAUGUUGAUGUAGCAACUAGAAAGAGGCAGAGGGAUGAGGAGGAAAGGAGGGAAAAGGAGAGAAAAAGGAAAUGCAUUGAGGAAGCUCGAAAACAACAGAAGCAGCCUAUGGAAAAAAGGCAUGCCAACAGUGAGAAAGAUGCUCAUCCAAAAGCUUCUGUGAGUAAAAGCUAUAUGCUUGAUUUGUAUGCAAGUGUUCCUUAGAUAUAUAGUUGUUAUAAAGUAUCUUAAUCAUUGCAGGAUAACAAGGAGUUGCAGAAGAAUUUGGCUGAAUCAGUGAAAGGCCAAGUUAAACCUGAUGAUAUGGCAAGUCUUGGAGAUAAGGCCACAAAAGGUAACAAUGAAAAGGUUGUGGUGGCUGAUGAGAGGCCUGGAAGUUUUGGAUCUCAAUCUCAGGAAAAUAUCCCAAAGAGUCUUGAAGAGGUAUGUUUGUAGUCUUUACGUAACUUCAUCUUGGGGAGAUACUUGCCUGUGUAAGUAUCCAUGAAACAUGUAGGUUUUUUAGACUAAUCACUUCAAAUUCAACAGAUUGCUUAUAACAUAUUAAAACAAGUCUUUGGAAGAUGUCUCACUAAACAUUUUUUUAUUUGAGGCCCUAAGUCUUCGAAACUGUGCAAAUUGCUGGAAUGUAGAUAUUGCAGCAUAAUUUUCGGAUGGCGAAAUUGAUGUAGAUUGCCAAGCUUGGCUAUUUUGAUUCAUUUCAUACUGCUAUUUCACUUCAGUGUCAAUGAAGGUUCUAAUUACAAAUUCUCUGCUCUGUGGGUUGUUGAACUUUGUAGCCUUAUUUGAUGACUCCAUAUAAAGAUUCUGAUGAUGAGGAUGAUGAUUUUGAACUAAAAGAAGAAUCAAGACGGAGAAGGAAAUUGAUUCCGUCAUGGGCUCGGUAUGUGUCUACCUUACAAACACGGAAUUUCUUAUUAACCUAGCAGCUGUUCUUAAAUAUGUUGAUGUGAUGCCUGAUGUGGCACGGCAAAGCUCAGGAGCCACAGCUUCCUUUUUGCCAUUCUUGCAAAGUUUGCAUAAAAUUGCGCUUGCCUUCCAGUUGAGCUCAUUGUAGAGGGCCAUGGGAUGAUUCUCUUUGCAUAAAUAAAUUGAUCAUCACUCUGAUGUAACUGCGAAAAUGGAGGCAUCUCUUUACUGCUUUGCUCACUUGAUUCUGCUUGUCAUUUUCCCUUAAGGCUGCUAAUGACAUGGUCUUUGUCUCUGAUUUGCAGGGGGGAGAAAUUGGAAAAAAUCUUACUAUCCAAUUACGCUUUGGACCAUAGAGAAAUCUUUGCACGAAAAUGCUCCUCUAACCUAUCUGAAAGUAAUCUCCCAUUCAUCAAUAUCCUUUUCAAUUAAAUUUGUUCUAGAAAUUUCUACCACUUAUAUUGCUGUUUCCUUUGCAGUUUGUCCAGUCCACAUUCCGCAACGUAGUUUCAGAUGAGUUUUUUUUUUCAAUAGAAGGGGUCCCAGAUGAGUUCCCAUUUGACGAACUGUUGGUUAUAUGCUGCCAUCUUUCUUCAGCAUCGCCAUUUGGCUUCACUUCUGUCAGUAGCAUGUCUAUAAGCUGAUCACACCAUUCUCUCGUUUCAACUAUGUAGAAGAACAUUCUUGUAUUAUCAGGCAAUUGCGGCAACGAUCGUUGUUGUGCAUAGUUUUGAUUUGUUCGCAAAGACUUUGCUUCGGUUGCAUUAUUCUUUGUGCAAGCUAGGAGAUGAACUGCUCGUUGAUAAGAGUAGCAUUCCUGUCUAAUGGCACUGUGCUCAAAGGAGCAGCAUGGUAGCAGCAAAAGCUGCUUGUGUACAUUAUGUCCAGACUCUAGCAUGUAAUUCCAAGAAGUGAUUUUAGGCAUCAAAAGAAAAAUAUCUGCUGCUUUUUAUGCAAAGAGAUGCCAUCUUGGAAUGUUAAUAAAUCGGUUUGGAUCAAGGAAGCAAAGCUUUCUUAUACUGAACUGAAUAUAACGGGACUGGAUACUCUAUUUGGAAGGAAAAGGAACGAGGAACGAGUAACAGUAGGAAACACCCAUGUGUCACGAGAACAUUGCAGUCAAAGAAUUGUAUUCCCCCAUAAGCUAAUUAUACGCGUGGCGUUCGUGCUCGUGCGGCCUGGUAAUGCAGCGCACGUAACUGGCGCCCUAGGGAUUUAGCGUGCGCCCCAGGCGGCCAUGGCUUCCCGUGCGGCGGUGACGGUCGAGUGCGUGUCGCGGUCGCUGUGGCGAGCAGGUCGACGACGAGGAAGCCAUUGGCCUCGAGAAUGGCCAUCCGCCAGUUCGCGCGCACGCGUUCACGCCCCUCGCCGUGCAUGCCGCUCCUCGCCGGUCUCGCACGUCGAGCUUGCCCUCCGGCGCCACCUGCACGCGCAAGUGGUUAGUGCACAUGACCACAGAACGCCAUGCGUUGGGACUAGACUAACCCGCGAGCAGAAGCUAGUUGCAUGGCCGCAGAGGGAUCGGAUCAUGGUUCACGGUUGUUGUUGGAGUGGCCGGACGGCGAUGACAGUGAGAGCAGAGAGCACACGGCCCUCGCAGAAGCGAGGCUUUCUGCUCGCUGGUGCUGGGUUGUGCUCUCUCUCUUCUGUCAUCUCCCUAGAGGUCCGUCCCACUCCACCGUCCUCCAUGCCCGGGCGGUCGCCCUCCCCCCUUGCCGCGAACCCUGCACACCGACCAAGCAACCAGAGACGCCAUCAGUCUCGGCGAAGCCAUCGUGCGAUGGUAUCAACCAGCAGAAUAGCAGAUAGCCACGCCCGAAUCGGAAAGGUGCAGAUGGAUGGAGGAGUUGCUUAGCUUGGUGACGGCGAGGAGGAGAACGAACGGAGCGUGAUGGCCGCAGAGCAAGACUCCGAUCCGGUGCUCUCGCCUCCCGGCCAUGGCUUGCGCGCGUGCGAGGUCUGUAGCUGUAAGCGAGGUGGCUGUGCCUGCGAAGCGUUUGCGACUCAAAUAAGAGCGCCGCGCGCCGGGCCGGUGAGGCACGGGGGCGCUGCUGCUGCUGCCGCUGCGGCGUAGAACGUGGGAGGCGUGUUUACUCGGGGGUCGGGCGCCGAGGACGUGGCCCUGCGGCCGCGCCGCGGCCAGUGCCCAUUUCGGGGACGGCGAUGAAUAGCGGCCGAGCAGAGCAGGCGCGCGCGUUAACUCCGGCUCGAGUUAAUCCGCCGCGCCGCGCGAUGGCCUGCCUGCAGCCGCAGCCGCUGCGGGGGGGCUCGUGCACGUCGCGCUCGCGGCGCAGCUAGGCUAGCGUGCACGCAGCCAGCAUCGUUCACGCGCGCCGCACGCGGCCGUGGUUCGGUCACGGUCCGCAGGAGAGCUAGCUGGGAGGCGCUGUAGGGGGAUCAGGGUGCACGCCUCGGGCGUGCCCGUGCUUGCUGAGCGUGUGUGAUGCGGGUGAUGCAGGUCUUGCAUUGCAUCAUCAGUUGAUGCAUGGACCAGCAGCGGGCAUGUAGGAACUGUUGCAGUGAGACAGCGACGACCAAGCUGUAGGAAGAGCUCUGAAUUGUUUUUUGAUUUCUCUUGCAUACGGUCGGCAUAAAUUUUGUUCUGAUGCAUAGAUUAUGAGACGGAACACUGCUGAAACUUUGUUCCUGAUAACCAGAGCCGCAAUAAACGUUUAGUAGCAAAUUUAAAGGCAUCAAGUUCAAUUACAGACUUGCUUUUAGGUGACCCGAUCGAAUCUUCUUCCACGAUCAGCCACUGACAUCACUGCCGUCUUUGGCGCCAUCACGGCGGCCGCCGUUGGCCACGACCGUGGUCUCCCGGAGCAGCAGCCGGAGGCACCUCCUGUAGACGCCGGCGUUCAUCUCGAUCGGCUCCACGGACGUCGUCAUCUCCUCCUCCUCCGCGCGCAGCAGCUGGCCCAUGUCCGCCAGCUCGCGGGCCCUCGUCCACGCCAUCCCGUCGUGGAGCCUGAACCGCUCGCCGCCGCCCCUGGCCAGCUCGCCGGGCACCCUCCUGACCACCAGCGCGCCGCUGACCGCGCCACUGGCCCAGAACGCGUUGGCGAGGAACAGCCCGGGGGUCAGGUCCCACACCCUCACCUCGCCGUCCUCCGAGCACGACACCAGGUUCCUGCACCCGUUGGCCAGGGCAACCGCGACCAGCGCCGCGGCGUUCGUGCUGCCUUCGCUCGAGUGUGAUGCUGUGGCCGUCGUCACGGCCUUCGUGCACGGGGAGUUGAGGGAUGCGACGUGGACGCGGCCGUCUGAGCCGCCGGCGUAGAGGUUGGAGCUUGUGGGGUCUAGCGCGAGGGAGAGUGCGGUGCACGGGAGCGCGAGGGUCCGGAGGUGGGCGCCGUCCGCCAGCCUCCAGACCUUGCACGUGCCGUCCGCGGAGGCCGACGCGACGACGGCGUUGCACCCGCCGCGCCCGCACACAACGCUGGUCACGGGCGCGACGUACGCGGCCACGCGGUAGAUGGCGUGGUCAACGUUGUCGGCGGCGGAGGCGACGCUCGCGUCGUCGGCGUCGAGGACGCGGAUGAGCGGGAACACGGCCACCCCGCCGUCGUCGCCGCCGGACACGAGGAGCGAGCCGUCGUCGCUGAGGGCGAGGCAGGAGACGGCGCCGCCGCCGUGGGCGCGGAAGGAGCUGGCGACGCCGCCGGACGGGAGCGCGAUCGCGUGCACGCACCCGGACACGCCGCCGGCCAGGAGGUGGGUGCCGUAUGGCGCCGCCACGAGCGCCGCCACGAGCUCGGGGACCGGCAGCUCGCGCGCGGGCGCCGGGGACCACCACUGGAGCAGGCGGAUCGAGCCGGCGCCCGUGGCCGGGCAGACGUGGGACGCCGCGACGAACGCCGUGCCGCCGGGACCCGUGGCGACAGCGAGGCCGUGCCGCGGCGUGUUGGCGGCCGGGAACUCGGCCAGAACGUCGCCCGUGAGCGCGUCGUAGGCGGUGAUUGGCCGGCCGUGGGGUGCCGCCAGGAUGAGCUCGCCGCCUCCCCGCUGCGAGGAGGAAGACGCCGCCAUCGCCACCACGCGGCUGCGCCUCUGCCCCGUGUGGCUCGUGACCACGGCAACCUGGCCCUGGCCAGUGCAAUGUGACGUGCUCAGGUCCACUGGAACAAGUGUGACGCAAUGUGGUUUGGUAUUAAGUCUUGAGAGUAAGUAGUAACUGAAGCGCUUAGCUGAGCUGUGCUGUUGUUCGCUUGUGGCCUUGUGGGUGUGCAGCGUGAUAUGAAAACAAUGAGAUAGAGAGACGCUAAGAAAUGGAUGCCCUGUUCAUCAGUUACUAUAGGCCUAGGCCUACCCUUUCAAAAUUCAGGAGGGAGACUGGGAGAGGCAAGUACAAAGGAUAAAACAUUUGGUGGGAUGCGACUUGCACGAACAGUGACUACCCAGUGUUGCACAUUCGUGGAAGCAAGUCAUCCUAAACAAAAAGGGAAAAUGGUGGCAAUGGGAGGAGAAGUCGGGUGCAGCACAGCAGCAGUUAUAUGACUUUAAGAACCUAUAAUUUAAAUCUAGGUCAUGUUUGUUUCAACUUAUUGAUUAUGAAAAAGCAGCUUGCACAUUGUAAUGAUCCGUAACAAUCUGGCCUAUAGGUUGCUAAAAUCCUAUGUGGAAGCUCGUGUUAACCUGUAAACAAAAAUUCCAAACUAAAACAAACACAACCUUAGGGCAAGUACAUUGCUACACGUCAGCAGUCUCGUAGGUCGUCUCAUGCAGUGCCACGUAGGAUUUUUGAUGAUGUGGAGGAGAGAGAGCGAGGAGAGAGAAAGAUGUCGUUGCUUCGCGAAACAACCACCUCAUAAGCUAAAUUGUAGGACUACGAGACAACUUAACAACCAUUGUACGAGUUAUUGUUGCCAUGCAACUCAUAAUAUUUUAUUUUUCUUAUGCACAAAUUAAGGAAUUAUAUACCACUAUCAGACAAUUUAUAGAAUAACCCAUUGUACGGGUUGCCUGUUGAAUCGUCUCAAGAUUACGUGUUAAUGCAUGAGACCACCUAUUAGACGACACCCAUGUACUUGCUCUUAGUGAUACACAUGAGAGUUAACGAGAGAUAAAAGUGGUAACAUCUUUAUUUUCCUUUUUCUAAGGAGCGUUUUUGUUGGUUGGGGUUUCGUACCUUGCAAGAAUUCAGCAAUGACCCGCUCUUUCUCUAGGCGAAGGGCUGAAGUAUUUGAUCAAAUAGCAGAAAUUUUUACAGAAACGACUUAUUGAAUGAUUUCAGUUUCUUUCAGCAAACUGAGAAAAACGACUGGUUCCUGACUGCAGCAACAGCACGACGCUUGACUUAUUUCAUCAAAAAUAAGCAUAAGCAAAAAUGGUCAGUAAUCCCGUAAAAGUAUUGACGAAUACUAGAUCAAGAAUACCCAGCAGAUCACCUACAAAUCCCUACCAGGACCUCCAGCUGCCGAAUCGCAUUUUUUAGAUGAUAGGGAAGCAAGACGAACAUAAGAAGCGUUCAAACAAAUUAACUGGUUAAUGAUGUGAGCAAGAACGUUUUUUUACAAAUAAUCAUUGGAACAAACAUAUAAAUCGUCAGAAGUUAAAAGGAUUUACACAAGCCACGCUGAAAAUUUCGUUCUACCAAUAACACAUGAUCGCUUGAGACUCGAGACAAUUCAUGAACUAUCAAACGAAAAAACAUAGACUGUUCAUGAACGAACAAGCAACGCAUCGGAUCCAGCGGAAUCGAGCAGCAGCUAGUAUCCUGGCGAGGCAGCCUGGGCCUGGCGCUUGAUCUCCGACCAGAGGCUGCGGAUAAGGCGUAGGCUCUUCCCACCCGUAGUCGGCCUCGGCACUGGCCACAUCCCCUUCCGCGCGGCGGCCACGGUGGCGGUGGUGUCGGAGGCGGACGAGCUGGGGGCGCUGGACGGAGGCAGGGACGGCGGCGGAAUCUUCGUCGGCGACGGCGAGGGCUUGAUCGUCCUGACGUGUCGGCGCGGGACAUGGACGGUGCCGUAGGGGUCACCCGGCGGCCAGUUGCCGUCGUAUACGACCUCGUAGCCUCCGUGUGUGGGCGACACGAUCGUCGCUCUGAACCAGAACACGAGAACCUCCCCGGUCUUCAGCGUCGUGGUCCUCGUGCGGACGCCGACCUCACUGCCAGGUCUCAGGUGCUCGCCAGCGCCGAGGGUGGAUGGGCUUGCGGACCCCGCGGAGGAGGGGGCGGAGCGGGGCGGCGGCUGCGGCGUGGAGGGAGAGAUGACAUUGGGGCGCAGCGAAGGGUGAGGCCGAUGUCGCGGCGCGUGGGUGCUGGCGGACUUUGAGUUGGUGGACGACGGAUCAGCACCCUCACGCGGCGGCGGCGGCGGCGCGGAUGGCGUCGUCUUGGCGACCGAUCUCUUGGGACCGGAUCGAGGAGGAGAAGCGGAGAUGGCGGAAGGUUGGCGGUGGAUGGAUUGAUCAGAGUAUCGGAUCGAGCAGGAUAGGCUGUUUUGGACCUGGACGAGCCCGAUCCGAAGUAGGCUAGACGGGCCAGUUGCCGUGAGUGGCAAGUUGAAUGGAUUGAUUGAGAGGCCGGCCGGAUAGUUUCCAUUUUUUUUAAAAAAAAUCCUAUUUACCUCCCUGGACAAUGGGUCGAGUCCGCGUUUCCUCCCACAACUCAAAAACCAUCCGUUCUGCCUCCUCGUGCUUCUGAAACCGGAUACGAAACCACCCCAACCGAAAUACAGUACACAUCACCAAUCAUACGUGUCCAAGGCACAUGCUAGUGUGUUUCUUCCUCCCUCCUUCCUCUCUGUCGCGCCCUCCUCAUCUCAUUCCCACGCUCGCGCCGGACAUGGCGGGCUCAAUGCCGACGUCCUCCUGGAGAUCCUGCUGCGCGUCCCGCCGUGCCCGCGCCGGUGGCUCCGCCUCGUCUGCCGGCACUAGCGCGGCGUCAUCAACGAGCGCUCACCACGAGCCGAGGGCGGCGCGUGGGGAGCAGCAAAAAGUCAGAAAUUUUUGAAAGAAGCAAAAAGUCAGAAAUACUCCUGGGAGUGUUCUAGACAUAUGGACACCUGGGAGAUUUUGCGUGGAGGAUGGACUGUUGAUAAACAGUCGAUGCACUUUUCAGGCUGUGACCCUGUGCUGCUGCUGCCGCCAUUUCCGGCAGGAGGCGGGGCACACAAUCCACCGGCGUUGGGAGGGCUCGCCGGCUCGCCGCCGAGCACCUGCACGAUAUGAUUAUUCGCUCUCCGGAACCCUCCCGCUUUUGCUCUAGUGCCGGAGAGCCCGGAUGAGCCAUUUACACUGUUCCACGGGCCACGACAGUAGGUGCAUCUCGAAUCCUCCCGGUCCUUUUCGAAAUACGUACUACCCCACGUAUUUCAGAACAGUGCCUGCAUUAUUCCGGUCUUACUCAGCAUGAUCCCUACCCAGCGCGAAAAGGAUUCGCCGGCCAGCAAAGCACGGUGCUUGGUAUAAUGGUAUACAUAAUACGUAAUGGUCCUUAUAGCCAGGCUCAGCAUCUCGAUCUAUAUAUAGUGGGUUAUGCAUGGCCAGGCUCCGGCGCUCCGCAGCAGCGAGCUGAUUGGUCAGCUUAAUUUGUGGUCAUCUGAUCGACCAGUAGUCAGCACACUCACCACCAUGGCACCAUCCACCAUGAGACUUGAUCCAGCUUCUCAUCCUUCUCUGCUCCUCGUGGCUCCUCCUCCUUCCUUCAAUCCGCUGACGCUAAGAGGACGCUGCUGGCGCCGGAGGGCUGGAUCAAGCCCUCCCUCUUCGAUGGCAUCCCCAACAACAACGACCUCUUGUACGUAAUAGAACAAGUUCUACCUAGCUACUACCUGUGUAAACUGUAACAUUAAUGGCAUCGUGAAGCCCUGCUACCACAGUGUGUUAACGUAACUGCUGCUGCAUCCUGUUGAACGUGCCCCUUAAUUUGUACAUGUAGGAUGGUACCCAGCUCCAGUUCAAGUCCGUGGCCCAGAACAGGUACCUCGUCGCCGACCAGGGCAGCGGCGCCGCCAUCCUCGCCGACCGGGAGCAGCCGUCCGGCUGGGAGACCUUCAAGGUUAAUUACUAAUUACUAGUUUACUACUAUAUGUAUUAUUAGUUGAUGGGCCGCAAAUGUGCAUCCGCGCUGUUAGCCAAAAGUUUCUCAUCCUCACUAAACCACACUUGUACGUACUCACGUUUUUUCCCCCUUAAUUUCGAUCCAUGCAGCAAUGGAGGAUCAAUGAGACGACGUUCAACUUCCGCGUGUUCGGCAACCAGUUCGUGGGCGUCGACAGCGCCGGCAGAGUCGUCGCGACGGCCACCAAGCCGGGGCCGUCGGAGACGUUCCAACUCGUGCGCCGGGACGGCGACAAGAGCCGGGUGCGCAUCAGGGCGCCAAACGGGCUCUUCUUGCAGGUAACUGACGCUAUGCAAUGGCAUGUUGGCGUGCCUGCACGUGCAAGGCCGGCAAGGCUGGCAGCAAGUUUCCAGCAUGCGUACUUUUCUUGGAUAAUGGCCUAGAGUGAUGUCAGAAUUGCAAUUGCUUUUAACAUUCAAAGAAGCACAUGUAACGUUCAAAAAAGAAGAGUAUUUGAACAGUCUAAGGUCCUUUUGUUUGAGAUUAUAAUCCACCUAGAUUAUAUAAGUUGGAUUAUGGGUGAUGUGCACCACUUCGGACUACAACUUAUUUCAGAUUAUUUGUGGUCCUAGAGUGAUCUAUGAUGGUCUUUUAUCUUAUUACCCUUGGACCAUAAUCUAGUUUAUAUAAUCUACGAGGGAAACAAACAUACAUACAUGAAAACAGAAUAUAAAUUAUCCCUAUCACGUUCCUUUGAAGCUAUCUAGUUUUUUCAAAUUAUAUAGGUUCGUGUGCUUUGACAAUAUAACAUUGUUUUUUUUCCUAUGACGUCAGGCAGAGACCAUGGAAUUGGUGACAGCCGACCACGGCGAGGACACAGACUGGGGUGACGAUGACCCAUCAGUUUUUGUGACAAAUAAUGUCGCCGGCUUACAAGGGGAGUAUCAGUUGUUUAAUGGCUAUGGCAUAAGAAAGGCGAGACAGGUGCUCAGGGUAAGAAAUCAGCGUGCUCUUUGUUUGUUUUGUUUUGCUAUGACAUGGUCUCAGGUCAGUUUUGAACUUCCUUGUUUGUUUUUUGCAGGAUCACUGGCGCACAUUCAUAACUGAGAGCGACUUCAGUUUCAUCGCAUCAAGCGGACUGGACGCGGUGAGGAUCCCAGUUGGGUGAUGGAUUGCCAGUGACCCAUACCCUCCACGUCCUUUCGUUGGAGGAUCCCUCCGGGCCUUGGAUAAUGCAUUCCGCUGGGCAGAGUAUAUCAUUUGUCUCUCCAUAUCUCAACUGAUGGACUGAACAAGAAACUUAUAUCAACGAAACAAUAUCAUUUUUGCUCCUUAAAUUGUGUUGUGUCCAUAAAUAGGAAGUACAACUUGGGCGUUAUUGUGGACUUGCAUGCUGCGCCGGGGUCCCAAACCCUUACGAGCACAGUGCCACCAGAGACGGCUCGCAAGAGUGGGGCACCAACGAUGAAAACAUAGACUUCAUCGCAUCAAGGUCAGUGAUCACUGCAGGAUCACAAAAUCUCUAAUAAUAAACUCUUUUUUAUCUCUCUCAUAUUAAAACUGAACAUAUUACAUAUAUAACCCAUUGAUGAAAAUUCCGAACUGACCAACAUAACCAGGUACGCGAAGAGUCCGAGUCAACGCCGUGCGGCGGCACGCGCCGACGGCCUACGUGAUCAUGCCGGCGAGGCUCGCCGCCGACGAGUCCGAGCUCCUCGGGUUCGCCGGCCGCUUCGCCCGCGCCGUCCUCGACGUGCACUACUACAACCUGUUCAGCGGCGCGUUCGACCACCUCACCGUGGACCAGAACAUCGACUUCGUCAGGAAGAACCGCUCCUCCGACCUCGCCGCCGUCACGAGGCGGAAUGGGCGCCCUCUUACGUUCGUGGGUACGCAAGCUCGUCUUGGCAGUGCCCUUUUUUUUUUGUCACGAACAGGGAACAGCCUAGUUUUUCCUUCUCUUCUUCCUCGUGCGAUUUUUAUGUGAUGUGAUUUACAAUUUUAGAGGGGAGUGGGUGGCCGAGUGGAACGUGCGAGAGGUGCGAGCAGCAAAAGGGAUUACCAGAGGUUUGCGCAGGUGCAGCAGGACGUCUACCGGCGAGCUACCUUUGGGUGGGCAUAUUGGAUGCUCAAGAACGUGAAUAACCAACCAUUGGAGCAUGCAGUGGAUGAUCCAGAACGGGUACAUCACGUUGAAGAACAGCUUGCAGAGCAACGCAGAAAUUUCGCUGGAGCAGGAGUGGGACGAUGCAUGAGAAGAUGGAAGGAAGAAGGCCAGAGCAGAAUGCUAUUUUAAAAUUAGUUGAGGGUCAAUUUCAGUGGGUCCUAGUUGGUUUGUUCAAUUAGUCAGGUUGGUGUUUUAUGUGUUGUUUUCAAUCCGACCCGACUAGGAGUCCAUGGGGUCAUGUUGUUAUCGAGUCCAAUAAGGAUCAUGUCUUAUGUGUGAUAUAUCCGUCAGUCCAUGCCUGCGUGAGCUAUCCAUGGAGCACUUGUCACAGGAAAAAACUUACCCCAACAGAUCUACAUCGUUCCCGUAAAAAUACGACGACGCGAAAAACACCUCCGUCGCUCCGCGUAUAUGCGCGAGUCCGGUACUUCCCCAAUCACCCUCGAACUACUCGUGCUCGGAAUUUCCGGCGCCCACUUCGUCGUCGGGCUGUUCUGGCAGCCGGCGGGGGUCGAUGCUGCAGUAAACAUCGCGGCCGCAGCAGAGGUCGCCGGCGCAAAGGCCGGUUGCGGCCGCACGCUAUCCAGGCCCGGCCGCAGGUUCCGGUCUUGCAGUCCCUGCCGCAGUGGAUAGCACCAAUGCUGCAGUACCCAUCGUGGCUGCAGCAGAAGUUGCCGGGCAAGGCUGCGCCGCCGGCUUGCUUGCCGCAGCGCCGAGCGGGCUGCAGGCGCCACUCUGGCAGCCUUGGCCGCAGUAGUCGCCGCCGAGGCCGCAGUACCCCGACUUGCUGGAGCAGAGGUUGCGAGGGCACAGCAUGCCGCCGCCCUGCUCGCCACACCUCUGGGAUUGAGCGGCCGCCGUGGCGCAGCUAAGGGCGAGGAUGACGACGCUUAGCACGAGGGCCGUCAUGGCCACCGUACCUGGUUUGUCAUGGCCACCGUACCUGGUUUGCAGCUCGCGCUGCGGUAUCACUCCCAGUCCCAGCUACUUGUUCGGAUUGUUUGCUGGAUGAGCAACGCGGCGUACGACGCGGCGAGCUCGGAGACGGCCGCGAGCCGGUCGGAGCUCAAGCUACUAGAGCCGCAACAGAGGGGAGGAGUCCACAUGCUGACGUGAUCAGUUUUGAAGUAUUGAAGAGUUUAUUAUUAUGAUCUGCUGUGGAAUGAUAUGAGUUUGGAAUAAAUUUUUACAAGAAUUCUCAAUAGAUAGUUUUGGGAAAGAUUUUUUUAGACUCUUGAAGUUGUUCGACCGUGUUAUUCUGUACCGUUAGACUAUUUUGACUUGCGAGGAGCGUCGAUGAGAGGUGAAACCGAGCUAGGCGUCACGUUGGAUCAAGGGAUUUGCAUCUAACCAUCGAGAAAAUCGAGUGAAUGUUUUUGGCAACAAAUAAUUUACUUUUUUUUUAGAGAGGUCACGGGUUGGAUAUGCAAUUUUACAUCCAUCCAGCCUCUUGGCACCCCUGAAAGACAACCAACUCAUUGAUGGGCCUUUUUGAACAGGCCUUAGUGAAGGACUCGUGGCGUAUGGGCCUCUAUGAAGAGAAGACCGGCCCGAAUCAACCUUCGUAUUAUCUCAUCAUUCCAUUUCUAUAUCAUCUUCGACUCUUUCGUUAACCCCUCGUCGUCCUCCGCUCGUUGCCUCCUCCCCAGAGUCCAGCCGCGCCAACUCCCGAAAGGCCAAAACCCCACCAAAUGGAGGGGGUAGCGCCCGCCGUCUCGCUGUUCCGCCCGCGCGCUUCCGCACGCCUCCCUGUCCUCCUCGCCGCGGAUUCCGGUGCCGCCCGCAUGAGCCCCGGUGCAGGUGGUAAUUCGAAUUCCCGCGAAUUUGUCGGUUGUUUGGUUCAACUACGAGCGCUCGUGUUGCUUGACCAUUGGGGCGUUUUUUUGUCUGGAUUUUUGAAAGGGAGGAGCAGGGUUUCGAGGCGUAGCCCUGAGAUGUCUCCGCCAGGAGCAGGUAAGGGGGGAGGCCGACUUGCUGCUUGUUUUUGGUUGGUUACUAAUUUCGACCGUCCGGCUUGUUUAUUUCAAUCCGCCUAAGAUUUUCUCCUUUUAUUGGAAGGGAGGAGUGCGGUGAGGAAGCACGGCAGUACCGAGGCUGCACCUCGCCGACCAGGUAAAUAGCUGACGAUCACCAUGGUCGUGCCGAUGAUACAUGUUUGAUUGGAUGAUUUACCAAUUAGGCAGUCAUACAUAUCUGAAGGUACUAAAAAAAAA
rnacentral:lncRNA from 1 species